rnacentral:rRNA from 1 species
UGGGGAAUUUUGGACAAUGGGCGAAAGCCUGAUCCAGCAAUGCCGCGUGUGUGAAGAAGGCCUUCGGGUUGUAAAGCACUUUUGUCCGGAAAGAAAUCCUUGGCUCUAAUACAGUCGGGGGAUGACGGUACCGGAAGAAUAAGCACCGGCUAACUACGUGCCAGCAGCCGCGGUAAUACGUAGGGUGCAAGCGUUAAUCGGAAUUACUGGGCGUAAAGCGUGCGCAGGCGGUUUGCUAAGACCGAUGUGAAAUCCCCGGGCUCAACCUGGGAACUGCAUUGGUGACUGGCAGGCUAGAGUAUGGCAGAGGGGGGUAGAAUUCCACGUGUAGCAGUGAAAUGCGUAGAGAUGUGGAGGAAUACCGAUGGCGAAGGCAGCCCCCUGGGCCAAUACUGACGCUCGUGCACGAAAGCGUGGGGAGCAAACAGGAUUAGAUACCCUGGUAGUCCACGCCCUAAACGAUGUCAACUAGUUGUUGGGGAUUCAUUUCCUUAGUAACGUAGCUAACGCGUGAAGUUGACCGCCUGGGGAGUACGGUCGCAAGAUUAAAACUUAAAUGAAUUGACGGGGUCAUAGCUGUUUCCU